CUUUAAUGAACGUAAUCUCUCCUAGUCUCAAAUUCCCCUUGCCUUUUGUGGCUGGACACAUACUCCUCCUUUACCCAUUCCUCUUUCAUACUGUUUUUUUGUUUAGAAAGGGUUUCAAUGUGUAGUACAGGCUGGUCUUGAGCUCACUGUGUAGCCCAGGUUGGCCUCAAAUUCACAAUUGAUCCUUCUGCUUCAGCUUCCUGAGUGCUGGGAUUACAGGUAUGUGCCACCAUGCCUAGCACACUCAUUGUUUAAUCUUUUUCUUAUUAGCCCUCUUCUUAACCCAUAAUCUAUUAUAGGGGGGGAUUAAUCCUUCAACUACCUAGAAAGGGGAACAGUGAGGGCUAAAGAAAAAAAGACACUUGAGACUUGUGUAUUUUCAAAGUAUAUGGGGUGCUGGGGGGUCAGUGGCUUAGAGUGGGAAAAGACCAAGACUCUCCGAGCUGCCACUAUUUAGGGGUGCACACAGUGACUGGAGGGAGCAUGGGGUGACUUGGGGCAGCGCUGAUCUCAUGUCUGAUCCUGUGCAGAUGCAGACCUCAUGCUGAUGAGGGCGGAAAGGACAGCGUUCCCACCUCCGUAGGGGGUGAGCUGGGCUGAUCUUUCUCUUCUGUGUCACCACUGGGUUCUCAACCAGGACGUCUCCGGCUGGUGUCACCUUGCUGUUGAGCACCGCAGCUCCACAGACCAUUGAGGCCUCAGCUGUUACCGGAGGGAUAGUGGAGUUAUGUUUCUGCAUUCCAUAGCCGCUCUCAGGGAUUGAACUCGGGACCUUGGCGUUUUCGAGGCAGGCGGCAAUGGCACCACUGAGCUAAAUCCCCGGCCCUAUGGGAUCGAACUCAGGACCUUGUGCUUGUGAGGCAGGCGCGAUGCCACUGAGCUAAAUCCCCAGCCCUCUUCUGGAGUCUUAAUGAAAUGACUAUGCUUAAUUUAAGCUUCAUCUGGGACUUGGAACAACACAUGUGAGAUGUCUAAUGGGAAAUCCCACUUGGUCCUCAUUGCUGAGAGUUUGCACUGGGCAUGCUCUCUAGCACACACAGUUCUAGACCUUGGGAAGGCUGACAGAUGCCCACAUAAGCCACAUUGCUGAGAGGAACAACUUAAGUACAGGGAGCCAGUCACCCUCAUUUUGGGGAACAGUAUAUAACCUGAAAUCUAAGGUCCCAAGCUACAGCUAAAGGUGAAAUUUGCAAGCUCAAAGGAUAAGCAAACUCAAGCCAGCUGGAUUAUAUCUUUUUCAAAGUGGUUUAGAUGAGACAAGUGCCAAGUUCAAAUUUCUUCAACAUUAAGUAAACAAUUAUAGUACAUAGAAGUAAUCACACUGGAGGCUGUGUUCUGUACCUGUAAACUAUUGGAAAACAGUCAUUGUGGCAAUUUUCCCCCCUGUGGCAAUUCUUAAUUCACUAUCCAGGAUUUAAUCUGGUGGUGACAGUUCAGAGGAAGUCUGGAAAGAAAGGACCUUGCCUCAGCCUGGUAUUAUACAUAGAUAUGUCCACAAGUGUUUUUACUUGGAAAUUUAAUGUUUUCCUUUAUUUCUGUACAGAUGCAAUGGGAAGGUAGAUGCUCUGUAUUUCCAUACACGUCAGUAAUUUCGUUUGUACUCUUUGUACUGAUAUUGAAAGUUAUAGCCUCUGUCUACAACAGAGAUAAUAUGGGAUUCAUAAUAAUUCCUGUAUCAUUAAAUAUGG
rnacentral:lncRNA from 1 species